rnacentral:rRNA from 1 species
AUGGCAGAGGAACCGUCCGCCAAGCGUCAUCAUGCCGAGACGUCGGACAAGAGGAGCAACCUCGUCGACAUUAACGUCCCCGGUGAGAAGCGCGAGUACACAACAACCCUCAAAGGGGUUGAGCUCCACGGCAACGAGACGCUGGAGAUCGUCUGCACUAGCGUACCAGAAAAGGCCGACGAGGUGAUCUCCAGGCUUUGGAGGAUGCUUGGCGGCAGGGUUCGUAGGAUCGUCGGCGUUGGUGUGCACUACACCAACAAAGAUGAACCUCCCCAGAAGGCAGCAGUCCUGCAGUUGUGCGUCGACGAACUCUGCUUGGUGUACCACAUCGCAGUGGCCACAAAAUGGCCCAAGCGCCUCAAAGACUUCCUGCAGGAGGAGAAAUUGUACACAUUUGUUGGUUUCAGCAUUGGAGGUGACAAGCAGAAGCUGGGGGAGUCUGGUUUGGAAAUCAACCCCAACAACUUCAUCAACAUGCAGUGCAAGUGGAAAGAUCCAAAGAACGACAAAUACUACGACUCCUUGGCCGAUGUUGCAGGCGACGUCAUCCACCCAUUCUACGAACGCAUGAAGAAGAAGAUGAAGAGGGAAGACCACAAACUGUGGGCGACCAGCCCGCUGCCAGACAACCUCAUCACGUACGCAGGAAUAGAUGCAUACGCAACGUACAAGUCAUGGAAGACAAUCGACAACAUCAUGACAGGUUGGGAUAUUUCAAAAGAGCAGGAGGCUGACCCCUACUACCACUGCAACUUCACGGAUGAAGAUGCAUGA